GUCCUCUGUACGCAGAACAAAGAAGAUGCCCCUGCUCUCAACGACUAUCAAUUGCCUAAGAACAACGCUUUUGGUGGUUGUCUUCUGCCAUUGUAUCGCACAUUACACUGGCAAACUAAUAGUAGGCCAUAUUCAGACAACUACUUUAUCAGCCAUCGUAAACAAAGGCAAAUGCUAUGUGAGUGCUUACUACAUAAUCGACGACGGAUACACUCUGAACUUAACGAGUCCUUGCCUCUCAUUCAAAUGUAAUGUUUCCAAAAGGACUCUGACAAUGCAAUAUUGUGUCCCUCCAAGCACGAUUGGAGAUCCUUGCCCGAUGGUCAAUAACACCGGAAAUCAUGAUUUUCCGUGGUGCUGCCCUGCUUUCAGAUGUUGAAGGGAGCUAAUAGGGGAGCCACAAAUAUUUUUUUUUCAGAAAGCAAUAUUUGUCGACAUUCUUGUUUUUCUCCAGAGUGACAAACAAGGGCUUAAUAAACUUUUCAUACCUUGAACGCCAA